GUGGAUUUCAUGUUCAGCGCUUAACUUACCUCCGAAUAAAACCCGCAGCCCCUAUUAGCUACUCGCUGGUAAGGCCAGCGCGUCCCGCGCAUUUCGUGUUUCCGACUUUACCCGACAAUAGCUAACUGGCGAUGCAAAUUUAGAACUGCGACCUACAUUCUUUGUUCCGGGGGAUUCCCUAUUUGUGCGCAUGUCCAGAAGACGUUAAUAUGUCUUCCGGGAAAAACAAACAGGCGUGCUCACAGAUUUACUAUACAACUCUAUGGAUGUGCUCUUUUCGCGGAACAAACUUUGUCAGCCUACUUUUUUUGUAAUAAUGGAGCCGACGUCUUCCAAACGCCAGCGAGGAGCAAACUGGUCCAGCAGGGAAGUACGGGCAUUAUUAGAGUUUAAGAGAGAGGUUUUUGAGAUAACUCUAGUCAGCAGCUGCCCAGAUUUGCCUUCAUAUGCACCUGUUCCUGAUGCUGGCCUAACAAAGGAAGUGUUCUCUAGUGUAGAUGUCUGUGAUACAAAUAGUUUAAGAUGUAC